rnacentral:sRNA from 1 species
CUGUUUUUUUCUUGGAGGUAUUAACACAUACACUCAGUGCACAGAAAGCCUGGUUCCACCCCCUUCCUGUCAUCUUUGUGGGCUCUGUCAGCAAGUUAGAGCAUGCUGGUGACCUCACGGUGGACAUUCCGAUGCCCAGGAUGCCCUCAGGCCCUGUCUCACGAUGACUCCCACUUCCACGAGCGGCACAAGUGCAUCAACUUCUUCGUGAAGGUGUACGGCUACAUGCCCCUCCUGUACACACAGUUCAGGGUGGAUUCUGUGCUCUUCAAGACACGCCUGCCCCAUGACAAGACCAAGUGCUUCAAGUUCAUCUAGGGGCAGCGCACGGUCUGGGGAAGAGGAUGAGCAGAGGGAGGAAGAUGGCUCCCAAGGUUCCUAGGCAUUGCAGGACCUUGGGCACAUCUGCUGGUGGGUGGCCCAGAGCCUCUGCUGGAAGGGGCAGCAGGAGGAGUGGAAGGAAACCGCUGCCUUUAUCUUGAAGUCAGCCACACUGGGCCUGGAGCCCUGGGCGGAGGCCCCGGGGUUCCCCACACAGGGCACUGA